rnacentral:rRNA from 1 species
AUGAACGCUGGCGGCGUGCCUAAUACAUGCAAGUCGAGCGAACGGACGAGAAGCUUGCUUCUCUGAUGUUAGCGGCGGACGGGUGAGUAACACGUGGAUAACCUACCUAUAAGACUGGGAUAACUUCGGGAAACCGGAGCUAAUACCGGAUGAUAUUUUGAACCGCAUGGUUCAAAAGUGAAAGACGGUCUUGCUGUCACUUAUAGAUGGAUCCGCGCUGCAUUAGCUAGUUGGUAAGGUAACGGCUUACCAAGGCAACGAUGCAUAGCCGACCUGAGAGGGUGAUCGGCCACACUGGAACUGAGACACGGUCAAGACUCCUACGGGAGGCAGCAGUAGGGAAUCUUCCGCAAUGGGCGAAAGCCUGACGGAGCAACGCCGCGUGAGUGAUGAAGGUCUUCGGAUCGUAAAACUCUGUCAUUAGGGAAGAACAUAUGUGUAAGUAACUGUGCACAUCUUGACGGUACCUAAUCAGAAAGCCACGGCUAACUACGUG